rnacentral:lncRNA from 1 species
AAAUUUUUGUUUUGUUUUAGUUAUAUUCUAAUUUUUCGUUGUUUUUUUGUUUUGCAUUGUUUGUUUUGUUGGCUUUUUACUGUUGUUAUGUAUUGUUAUUCUAUUUUUCUUAUCGAUUAUUUUUUCAAUUUUAUAGUAAUUUAGUAUUUGAAAUAUUUAUCGUCGUUUAUUAUUCGUCAGAGGUCGAUGGAAAGUUUAUGCGGUAUUCUCUCUUUUUACUAAGUAUUCCGGUCAAUGAUUUUGAAAUCGG